rnacentral:rRNA from 1 species
AAAGUUAAUAAGGGCGCACGGUGGAUGCCUUGGCAUUAAGAGCCGAAGAAGGACGUGACUAACGACGAUAUUCUAGGGGGAGCAGUAAGUACGCAUUGAUCCCUAGGUCUCCGAAUGGGGAAACCCACUAUGUUAUGCAUAGUAUCCGUAAGUGAAUACAUAGCUUACGCGAAGGUAACGCAGAGAACUGAAACAUCUAAGUACCUGCAGGAAGAGAAAGUAAAAACGAUUUCCUAAGUAGCGGCGAGCGAACGGGAAACAGGCCAAACCAAGAAGCUUGCUUCUUGGGGUUGUAGGACUGCAACGUGGACUUAAAGUCUAUAGAAGAAUUACCUGGGAAGGUAAGCCAAAGAGAGUAAUAGCCUCGUAUUUGAAAUAGACUUUAUACCUAGCAGUAUCCUGAGUAGGGCUGGACACGCGAAAUCCAGUUUGAAUCCGGGAGGACCAUCUCCCAAGCCUAAAUACUCCUUAAUGACCGAUAGUGAACCAGUACCGUGAGGGAAAGGUGAAAAGAACCCCGGGAGGGGAGUGAAAUAGCACCUGAAACCGUGUGCCUACAAGAAGUUCGAGCCCGUCAAUGGGUGAGAGCGUGCCUUUUGUAGAAUGAACCGGCGAGUUACGUUAUGAUGCGAGGUUAAGCUGAAGAGGCGGAGCCGUAGCGAAAGCGAGUCUGAAUAGGGCGCUUUAGUAUCAUGAUGUAGACCCGAAACCUAGUGACCUAUCCAUGAGCAGGUUGAAGGUGCGGUAAGACGCACUGGAGGACCGAACCAGGACACGUUGAAAAGUGUUUGGAUGACUUGUGGAUAGCGGAGAAAUUCCAAACGAACUGGGAGAUAGCUGGUUCUCUCCGAAAUAGCUUUAGGGCUAGCGUCGCAAUUUAAGUGUAUUGGAGGUAGAGCACUGUUUGGAUGAGGGGCCCAUCUCGGGUUACCAAUUUCAGAUAAACUCCGAAUGCUAAUACACAUGUGCGGCAGUCAGACUGCGAGUGCUAAGAUCCGUAGUCGAAAGGGAAACAGCCCAGACCACCAGCUAAGGUCCCAAAAUAUAUGUUAAGUGGAAAAGGAUGUGGGGUUGCACAGACAACUAGGAUGUUAGCUCAGAAGCAGCUAUCAUUCAAAGAGUGCGUAAUAGCUCACUAGUCGAGUGACCCUGCGCCGAAAAUGUACCGGGGCUAAACAUAUUACCGAAGCUGUGGAUUUAAUAUUAAUUAAAUGGUAGGAGAGCGUUGUAAUCAGCGAUGAAGGUAUACCGUGAGGGGUGCUGGAGCGAUUACAAGUGAGAAUGCCGGUAUGAGUAGCGCAAGAUAAGUGAGAAUCUUAUCCACCGUAAGACUAAGGUUUCCAGGGGAAGGCUCGUCCGCCCUGGGUUAGUCGGGACCUAAGGCGAGGCCGAAAGGCGUAGUCGAUGGACAACAGGUUGAUAUUCCUGUACUAGUAUUGUUAGUGAUGGAGGGACGCAGUAGGCUAAAGGGAGCCAGUUAAUGGAUUCUGGUCUAAGCAGUGAGGUGUGGAAUGUGUCAAAUGCAUUUUCCUUUAACAUUGAGCUGUGAUGGGGAAGCAACUACGGUUGCGAAGCCCUUGAUGUCACACUGCCAAGAAAAUCUUCUAGCGUUUAAUUCAAUACUACCCGUACCGCAAACCGACACAGGUAGUCGAGGCGAGUAGCCUCAGGUGAUCGAGAGAACUCUCGUUAAGGAACUCGGCAAAAUGACCCCGUAACUUCGGGAGAAGGGGUGCUGUAGAAAUACAGCCGCAGUGAAAAGAUCCAAGCAACUGUUUAUCAAAAACACAGCUCUCUGCUAAACCGCAAGGUGAUGUAUAGGGGGUGACGCCUGCCCGGUGCUGGAAGGUUAAGAGGAGGGGUUAGACAUUAGUCGAAGCUCUGAAUUGAAGCCCCAGUAAACGGCGGCCGUAACUAUAACGGUCCUAAGGUAGCGAAAUUCCUUGUCGGGUAAGUUCCGACCCGCACGAAAGGCGUAAUGAUUUGGAUACUGUCUCAACGAGAGACUCGGUGAAAUUUUAGUACCUGUGAAGAUGCAGGUUACCCGCGACAGGACGGAAAGACCCCAUGGAGCUUUACUGCAGAUUGAUAUUGAGUACCUGUGAAGCAUGUACAGGAUAGGUAGGAGACUUUGACCUUGGGACGCUAGUUUCAAGUGAGUCGCUGUUGGGAUACUACCCUUGCUUCAUGGUUGCUCUAACCCACACGCAUAAUCGGCGUGGGAGACAGUGUCUGUCGGGCAGUUUGACUGGGGCGGUCGCCUCCUAAAGAGUAACGGAGGCGCCCAAAGGUUCCCUCAACAUGGUUGGAAAUCAUGUGUAGAGUGUAAAGGUAUAAGGGAGCUUGACUGCGAGAGCUACAACUCGAGCAGGUAGGAAACUAGGGCUUAGUGAUCCGGUGGUACCGCAUGGAAGGGCCAUCGCUCAACGGAUAAAAGCUACCCUGGGGAUAACAGGCUUAUCUCCCCCAAGAGUCCACAUCGACGGGGAGGUUUGGCACCUCGAUGUCGGCUCAUCGCAUCCUGGGGCUGUAGUCGGUCCCAAGGGUUGGGCUGUUCGCCCAUUAAAGCGGCACGCGAGCUGGGUUCAGAACGUCGUGAGACAGUUCGGUCCCUAUCCGUCGCGGGCGUAGGAAAUUUGAGAGGAUCUGCCCUUAGUACGAGAGGACCGGGGUGGACUUACCGCUGGUGUACCAGUUGUUCCGCCAGGAGCACCGCUGGGUAGCUAUGUAGGGAAGGGAUAAGCGCUGAAAGCAUCUAAGUGCGAAGCCCACCUCAAGAUGAGAUUUCCCAUUCUUUAUGAAUUAAGAGCCCUGAGAGAUGAUCAGGUUGAUAGGCUGGAAGUGGAAGUCCUGCGAGGGAUGGAGCGGACCAGUACUAAUAGCUCGAGGACUUUA